GCAGCUACUCAAUGCACAUGCCUGUGGAUUCUCUGCCUCCCUGUGGUUUCUUUGCUCCAAGCCCCAUUCUUGCUUUGCUGCAGCCUAGAACCUGCCCUGCACCCAACCUUGUUCCAGUCCUGUUCCAGCCCUGUUCCUGCCUUCAGCGAGUUCCCAUCUAGGGGACAGAAGACCCCUAUAUAGAAACCUACAGCGAGGAGACAGGAAGGAACAGGACCUGUCUGCAGAGUGUUCACCAUUGGGCAUGGGCUCAGCUGACCCUAGGAGAUGAUGGUUCCUGCUCAGUGGUCCAGAGGAAGUUUAAUGGAGGGCUGUUAGAGGAAAAACAAGCAGGAAGGGAAGAAUGACUCAAGACAAGCCACUUCUCAGCAAACACUUGAAACAAUUCUAGGAGGGGAAUCAAAAGGACUGAACAGGUUUAAAAAGAGUCUCCCUCUCAAGAAGGGUGAGUUGUUCAGGAGGGCCAGCCUGACACAUGGGGACCCCGCUGGGGUCUCUGCAGAACCUAGGCCUGCUUAAUCACAGUGGCAAGACAGUGUGGCUUGCGAUCAGAGACGUGCAGGCAGACUGUUCUUAAAACCCCUUUCCUCUUUGUUCC